ensembl:lncRNA
AGAACUUUCUAAUGAAAGUGUACACAUUUUUUCCUGGUUGCAGUUGAAAAUGGCUUGGAAUGAAAGUAAAGGCACAAUGUUCUGGAUUGGUGAGCAGCAGUGUUAUGUUGAGUCACUUAUGUCGGUUUUGUUAGGGUCAAACUACACACGUAUCUGGCAAAAUUCUGGCUAAUUCUGGCUGUCUCGUAUAAAAAUAACAACAACAACCCUAUUAGUGUUUUAAGACUUCCGGGCCAUACUCUCUAUUUUCUCCAUUAACGAAAUCCUCAUUUAGUUUUGAUGUCAUAACGCUCAAUGUCAUUUUCAAGCUUUUAUGGAAUAGCUGUGACUUUUAUAGAAAUGGAAUUUAUGUCUUUCCGUCAUUUUUACGUCAUCCGGUGGGCCCCACUGGACCCCGCGAGCCGUAUGUUUGGCACCCCUGCAUUACACAAUUACUCAGUCAUAGGUGAUGAUUUCCUAUCUAUUGAUUAAUUAUGUCCAAUUGCUAACAACUUCACUGCAACAAACCCCAUGUACACUGGCAAUCUUUCAACAUGAGAUGCAAGUACCCUUUUUUCUAAAGUCAUCUUAUGACUUUUUACUUCCUUUUUCGAUGCAGUUUUACACUGUCACUAGCGGUGGCUAAGUGCAGUAACUAACUGCACUUACUGGAGGACUGUAGCUUGAUUUUGAGGUAUUUAGUCAAAUGUUUUGUUUUCCCCUUUUGUGCUCACAACAGAAGUAAAUAUUGGGCUUUUUCAUACGAAACAUAUUGUAUGAUCAGUAAGAAAAUAGAUGCACUAUUAUAGCUCUCGCUAUGAUAAAAUAAUUAAAAACAGCACAGCUGCAACAGUAAUUCUGUGAUAGUAAUCCAAGUUGUUCAGACAAAGCAGACGUGUUUCUGCGUCAGCGCUUUCACUUGACUACAUCUUGCUGGAAACACGGAUAUACUUUAGUUCAGUAAGCUUUCUGAAAACUCCAGUUCCAGUGAAGCAACUUCAUCGCCACCUGUAGAACUCAACGCUAAAACACAAUUACAAGAGCAAUUUUCACCAAUACAGCUCGAGUUGACCAUAGGAAAAUACUGACAGCAACACUGCAAUUGGAGUGUUUUUAAGAAUUUGUAAAAAAAAUCUACAACUGGUGUGUACAAUAAUACAUGGAGGUAAGAUCAUCCACGUGAGUUGCAACACACAAGCUAAUAAGCCCUAUUCAAUAAAGAGGCAACUACUGACAGGCCCCUGUAGGGUUGACCGGACAUUCAUUGAUGCCCUGUGAAGAUGCACCUCUGGCCCUCCAUGGAGCUGUCCCCUUUGAAGGACGGCAUUAUUCUGUUUAACUCUUUUCUAAAUUGACUCAUUGUACAUUAUUAUUUUGUGCCAUCUGCACAUGACGGGCAGAUGGCGUCUCUAAAUGGCCGACCUGUCUGAGUUAUACUUCAAAUGAUUUAAAGUUGUCCCCCUUAAGGCAUCUGUGUGUAAGCCUGUGUGUAGAAUCAUUUAAAUAAAUUGUUAUCACAGUUUUGCGAUGGCGAAGAAGAAUUUUAGUUUGUAGAAAAUGCAGAUAUUCUGAUGAUGACUGAUGAUGUAAUUAUUGUCUUUUUUGAGUCACCAGAGCCAGAAAAUCUAAAAUCCCACAUAAAAUGGCUUGAAAGAAAAGGCCGGGGGCUCAUCAGGUUUUGCUCUUAAGCUGCUUUAAAAAGCAAAGCCUACGUAAAACAGAGAAAUGACUGCUUUUGGUAACUGGCAUCACUAACGCAGUUGCAUAGCUGUAAUCAGCUUUCCUGUUGCUCUGCUUCUCACAUAAAGAAGAUUGGUUUUUAAUUUUCAACCUAAGCUUUUUUACAAUACAUCAAUAGAUUAAAAUAACAAUGUGCUCACUACCAUUACUUAAGCGAUACCUACAGGCCUAUGCAGGAAUUAGCAGUCCAGCCGUAAUGCUUCAAUAAUAUGUUUAGACUGUCACAGUGCAACCUAAAUGCACACCACUGUAUUGCCAACAAUGAGAGGCAAAGUUAUCCUGCCAACACAACUGAGAAAUCAGAAAAAUAGCAAGUGAGAAUCCACAAAUGAAGGUCUUGUGGUUAGUUUAGGGGUCAUAUUUCCAGGACUCAUAGCUGUUCCCAGCACUGCACACAAUGUCUUGAGUUUGAAAUAUAACCUAUACGUUUAGUAUAUUACUUUACACAGGAAUAAUUAAAUAUCAUUAGGAUGAGGAAUAGGGCCAGAAUUCAUGUUUUUUAGGAGGUGAUUUGGCUGUAGAUGCUAAUUUUCAGCAAACAGAUCUUCAAAGCUGCAGCACUGUUAUAGUGCUCCGGCUGUUAUUAUAGAGCUAUGAUUUUAAUAUGCAAUUAUCAUAAUGUCUCUUAUCCCUCUAUGCCACAGAAUCUAAUUAGGCCUUAUCUGUAUCAGCUCCACUCCGACAACUCAUCAGAGCUGAAGGUGUUUAAGAAUAUUAGGUUGGAAAACCAGGUCAUUCAAGACAAAAAUGUUGGCUCGCGUUUCGUUUUGGUAAAUGUUCUUUGCAGGAGAAUCUGCCUGUGGCUCGACGAGGACGUGAGGACAAGGGCACGAACCUUCAUCCACAUUACAAGGAACGGCUCUCGGAAAUUGGCCUGAAUGCAAGGCACAUCUGAAAGGCAAAUGAAAGCAGCUGCUCUUCUCAGUGAGACACAUUUGCUUAAGAUUAGAUCAACAACUAACUCGCAAUUUAGUAUGCUUAGCACACGAAUGGAUGUGCUUGUAAUAUUUUACCAUCAGAGUCUCAAAUAGACCUGCGAUCCAUGUGUGUUCACUAGCUCUCCAUGUCUGCAAUGUUGUGUAACUCCCACUAGAUGUAGCAAAUGACUGUUGGGUCAUUUGCUACAUCUGGCGGUCGGGGAGAUGGUGGCCAGAUGCCGUAGACGCCCAGACGUUUUCAGAGUAUUUUAUAUGUGUAAAUACAUUAGCAGACUAGAUAUUUCCUAUAGCAUACAAUACUCAUAAAGGUAUGUGCCAAAUGAACAAAACUGGGUUGGAGACAACACAAUCUUACAACAGGUAGGUGGGUUUACAAGGAGGCAGCGUUGAGACAAUCUUCUCAGCCUGUUUUAGGUCGAUUCAGCGGACCAGAGGUCAAAUAUGGUAACAGGCAGGAGAAGUAAGGUUAAUCUAGUCACAUAAACCACAGGAAUGUCAGAGACCACAACACAACCUCUGCUUAAGUGUGAUACUUCUAGACUGCAGUGUUUUCUUUCAAAACCAAAACUUCAAAACAGAAAUUAUUAGAAAGGUAAAUAUGAAAAGUUCAAUAUGAUUUAGACCAACAGACAACCAAAAGAAAAUUAACAGUUAAUGAUUCACGGGAUAUGACACAGUUGCUCAGCAUCUGUAAAACCUGAGUUCUCCUGUGGGAUGCCAGAUAAACAGAUCUGUGAUUUGUGCUUGCUUUUCAUUACCCUGAGCAGUUUUCUUUGCCUGAUCCAUGAGGAAAUAAAUCAUUUACUCCGGAUGAAGUUAAUUCUGUGCUCUAACAACAAAUUAACUCAGGAACUUCAUCAGAAAGCCAAUAUUUUCUCAAACCACGGUGUGUCGUUGCCCAGAGGGUACGUGUUUCUGUUUGUUUAGAGUUUAAUGAGGUUGACUGCAUUGCCCCGGUGCGCAAGACCAGCCAAGCAUUGUGCACCUAUUAUUGGAGAAACAUAAUUAAUUCAAGCAGUGGGCUUUAAUAUUCCUCUUAUGAAAAAAAUGCUGUGUAAAAAUACUCUAUGGUGGUCAGGAGUGUAGUAGAAGUACUCAGUACAUAAGUAAAAGUAUUCAAACAGCAAUGUCAAAAUGUGCCUCUUCAAUGGGAUUAACAACAUUUCAUAGAAAUCUUAAACUAGGGGGUUGAAACCUACUAAACUCUAAAAAUGUCAUAUCUAAUCUUAUUAUAUGUGUUUAAGCUGUAGCUGCUUAUACAUGUGGUAGUGUAAAAAGUACAAUGUGUACCAUGAAUACCUCUAAAAUGCAUGCAUGGAGGUGAAGCAUACUAUACACUUAUGUACUUUUGAUUUAUAGUAGUACUCUGCCCAAUGAGUCAAUUUCAUAUUUAGAGUCAUGAAAAGCCAAUAAUGUUUUAUGACCAUAAAUCCAUGGUAGACUAUGUAUUUUUGCACAAUAUAUUAACAACAGUUUUGAACAAAUUCAUGUAUUUCUUUACAGUAUCCUAGGCAACCUAAGGGUACCCAAGGUUUGGAUUUUCACAAUAAAAGCUGGUUGAUUUCAUUCUUCUGAAGAAUCCCCGACAAUAAUUGCUGGCUGCCGCAUUUCCAAUAGAAUUUGACUUGGCUGUCCACCGCUUCUAUUCAGCUUUUGGGUAAAUACAAGAAGAUGGCUUCCAGCUGAUAAAACAAAAUGCCCCUACUGUCAUAUCGCAUGGAGGCAAGUGCAUGAGUGGGAUCACAUCAAGUGCACCCACACAUCGACACACACCCACAUACGUAUUCUAAGUCACCUUCUCUCACACAAACACAUGUGCAAACAAACGCCACUGCACACACAAAAGUAUGUGAUGAAUGUUUUCCCAUCUGUGAGACAUCGAUCAAGGCAGGAAUGAAUAGUGAGUGACGGAGCACACAAUAAAUGAGGCUCCAUUUUAUUUCUUUGAAAGACAAACAAUGCUAAGAUGCUUUGGUCAAUAUGUUCAGAGACAAAUGUCAGUGAAGAAAAGGCUGUAUAACAGCCUUGACAGGAUCCCACCUUGGAGUGAGUUCUUGCACUGAAUACCUUUUCUUCUUUACACACCAGCAACACGCCUCGUUCAAUUAAUUGCCCAAAGAUCAAUGGGAGCUUUCACUUAAAAAUGUGCACCAGUCUCACUGUGAAGCAGCUAAUUUCCCCUGACAAUCUGUUACGCUUUUUUUAAUCGGUACCGCUAGAUCCAGUGCUCAAUAGUAGCUUUUAUGAGGCCUAUGUUUAAAUAUAAGUUGCUAACCUUGAGGAAUCAGGAAGAAACAUGAGAAAGGAACAGUUCGAUAUGCAGCAAAAUUGU